rnacentral:rRNA from 1 species
UCUUCUUUGCUGGCGACCGGCGCACGGGUGAGUAACACGUAUCCAACCUGCCCUUUACUCGGGGAUAGCCUUUCGAAAGAAAGAUUAAUACCCGAUAGCAUAAUGAUUCCGCAUGGUUUUCAUUAUUAAAGGAUUCCGGUAAAGGAUGGGGAUGCGUUCCAUUAGGUUGUUGGUGAGGUAACGGCCCACCAAGCCUUCGAUGGAUAGGGGUUCUGAGAGGAAGGUCCCCCACAUUGGAACUGAGACACGGUCCAA